rnacentral:rRNA from 1 species
AGAGUUUGAUCCUGGCUCAGGAUGAACGCUGGCGGCGUGCUUAACACAUGCAAGUCGAACGAACCUUCGGGUUAGUGGCGGACGGGUGAGUAACGCGUGAGAAUCUGCCCUCAGGAGGGGGAUAACGGCUGGAAACGGCCGCUAAUACCCCAUAUGCCGAGAGGUGAAAUGAGUUUUCGCCUGAGGAUGAGCUCGCGUCUGAUUAGCUAGUUGGUGGGGUAAGAGCCUACCAAGGCAUCGAUCAGUAGCUGGUCUGAGAGGAUGAUCAGCCACACUGGGACUGAGACACGGCCCAGACUCCUACGGGAGGCAGCAGUGGGGAAUUUUCCGCAAUGGGCGAAAGCCUGACGGAGCAACGCCGCGUGAGGGAUGAAGGCCUCUGGGCUGUAAACCUCUUUUAUCAAGGAAGAAGAUCUGACGGUACUUGAUGAAUAAGCCACGGCUAAUUCCGUGCCAGCAGCCGCGGUAAUACGGGAGUGGCAAGCGUUAUCCGGAAUUAUUGGGCGUAAAGCGUCCGCAGGCGGCCUUAUAAGUCUGUUGUCAAAGCGUGGAGCUUAACUCCAUUUCGGCAAUGGAAACUGUGAGGCUUGAGUGUGGUAGGGGCAGAGGGAAUUCCCGGUGUAGCGGUGAAAUGCGUAGAUAUCGGGAAGAACACCAGUGGCGAAGGCGCUCUGCUGGGCCAUAACUGACGCUCAUGGACGAAAGCCAGGGGAGCGAAAGGGAUUAGAUACCCCUGUAGUCCUGGCCGUAAACGAUGAACACUAGGUGUCGGGGGAAUCGACCCCCUCGGUGUCGUAGCCAACGCGUUAAGUGUUCCGCCUGGGGAGUACGCACGCAAGUGUGAAACUCAAAGGAAUUGACGGGGGCCCGCACAAGCGGUGGAGUAUGUGGUUUAAUUCGAUGCAACGCGAAGAACCUUACCAGGGUUUGACAUCCUGCGAAUCCCUUGGAAACUUGGGAGUGCCUUCGGGAGCGCAGUGACAGGUGGUGCAUGGCUGUCGUCAGCUCGUGUCGCGAGAUGUUGGGUUAAGUCCCGCAACGAGCGCAACCCACGUCUUUAGUUGCCAGCAUUCAGUUGGGCACUCUAGAGAGACCGCCGGUGAUAAACCGGAGGAAGGUGUGGAUGACGUCAAGUCAUCAUGCCCCUUACAUCCUGGGCUACACACGUACUACAAUGCUACGGACAAAGGGCAGCAAACUCGCGAGAGCUAGCAAAUCCCAUAAACCGUGGCUCAGUUCAGAUCGUAGGCUGCAACUCGCCUACGUGAAGGAGGAAUCGCUAGUAAUCGCAGGUCAGCAUACUGCGGUGAAUACGUUCCCGGGCCUUGUACACACCGCCCGUCACACCAUGGAAGUUGGCCACGCCCGAAGCCGUUACUCCAACCCUUGUGGAGGAGGACGUCGAAGGUGGGGCUGAUGACUGGGGUGAAGUCGGAACAAGGUA